rnacentral:misc_RNA from 1 species
GUAGGUGAACCUGCGGAAGGAUCAUUAAUUUGUUGUGUAGCAAGAGCAACAGCAUUUUUUGUUGUUGUUCUUGGCUCUACCCACGUGGUGUGAACAUUUUUAGACUCACGAGCCCCCUUUUUUUCUUUCACAAGAACCAACAACCCAACAAACGAACAAAAAACACACGAACCAAAGAAAAACAUCAAAUAAUAGAGAAAAAAAACAACUCUAGGCAAUGGAUAUCUUGGUUCCCGCAUCGAUGAAGAAC